AUAGAAACGUCUAAAAUCCCAAAUGAAAAAAUGAUUUAUUUUAGAUAUAUUUUAGUAGACUUAAUUUUUGUUUCCUUCAAGAAUUACAGCCAAAUCCUGAAUUACUUUGUAAAACUAAGUCAACUGCAGGAUGAGACUGAUCGUGAAUGUUAGGAAAUGCUUAAAUUAAGAUCUUUGCUUGAAGUAGCAUGUUAAAUCUAACUUAACUGAAAGUUGUGUGGGUGAAGCUGACUUGAAAUCAUCACUCUUCCAAAUGCUUAGAUCUAUUAUUUUUGCCAUAUGUAUAAAUGCAUGCUUUUAGGAUAAAAUCUUAUGAAAAAGACAUCCCCUUUAUUUAGCAUUUUGUAAUAACUGAGAUGUGAAAUUAGCAUCAUGGUUCACAAGACACAGCCAGCUCAAAUAAAUCAACAAGCAUACAAUUUAUCAGGUGUGUUGUAAAAUGGAAAAUACAACUUCAGUGUUCAUUUAUUUCUUCACAUUUAAACUCAGCAAUUUAAACAGAUAUAUAUAAUGAGCAGAGAAAAAUUAAUCCACCUUUAAUAAGAUUAAUAGAGUAAAUUCAUUCUAACUAAUGAAAUGUUAUGCAUGCAUAGUGAAAAAUGCUUUGUCUCUACAACUUCUCAUUUUUGCUACAAAAUAAUACAUUAACAUGUGCUUGACAAAGAAAUGUGAUUUCUUUUUUCAUUUUUCUUUUUUUUUUCUUGUCUAGGGGAAUAAAAAGUGCAAGGACUAUGCAAGUGUUCUGGGUUAUUCAGCAACGGUAUCACAAUAAGCCAAAGCUUGAAAUUAAUUAAUUUCCUAACUACUACAAUGAAAUUGGUUUUAGUGAGGAAGCAAUCUGACUUUCAGGCAUUCAGAUCCAGCUGUACUGGAAAUGUGCAGCCUUUCCUAUGUGCGUGGUCACUGAGCAGGAGCACAUCAUUUCCCGAAGCUGUCCAAACCAGUGCUCCCUCUCCCUCACAAGAUCCCCUUGCUGAGCUCUAGGUCAGGCAAGGGAACGGGGGAGAGAGCAUGGUGGCAUUUGGGACUGUAUGGAAGCAAAUACGGUGCUGGGGUACUUCUUAUGAUAGCUACAGUACAAUAAUUCUGGAUGCAUGCUAACCUGGACAAACGUAUUAUGCAGUGACAGUGUUAACAUCUGUAUUUCAUUACUUACAUUACUUCCACAGCAUGUGACUGCGAACAGAAGUGGAAAUACCGGUUUCUGCUCUCACCUUUCCCAAGAUUUAAUUUGUAAGCCAACUUUCUUUAAAAUAUUCAGAGACAGGAGAGAUGAUGCAAUGAGUACAUCAUCACAUGCCCACCCCGAAAGGAAGACAAUUAUGAAUUUCAAGUGCAAAAACUUUCCUACUGUCCUACUG